GAUGAACGCUGGCGGCGUGCCUAAUACAUGCAAGUCGAGCGAACGGACGAGAAGCUUGCUCCUCUGAUGUUAGCGGCGGACGGGUGAGUAACACGUGGAUAACCUACCUAUAAGACUGGGAUAACUUCGGGAAACCGGAGCUAAUACCGGAUAAUAUUUUGAACCGCAUGGUUCAAAAGUGAAAGACGGUCUUGCUGUCACUUAUAGAUGGAUCCGCGCUGCAUUAGCUAGUUGGUAAGGUAACGGCAUACCAAGGCAACGAUGCAUAGCCGACCUGAGAGGGUAAUCGGCCACACUGGAACGGAGACACGGUCCAGACUCCAACGGGAGGCAGCAGAGGGGAAUCUUCCGCAAUGGGCGAAAGCCGGACGGAGCAACGCCGCGUGAGUGAUGAAGGUCUUCGGAUCGUAAAACUCUGUUAUUAGGGAAGAAGAUAUGUGUAAGUAACUGUGCACAUCUUGACGGUACCUAAUCAGAAAGCCACGGCUAACUACGUG
rnacentral:rRNA from 1 species